GUUUAGAUUGAAUAAUAUUGAUAUACAAAAUAUUGCUAAAACUUCAAAUAAAAUAAAAUCCUGAGGACAUGCACUGAUUUUUUUUUUUUUUAAACAAAUCUCUCAUGCUUCACAAGCUUGCAUUUAUUUAAUUAAAAAUACCCCCCCUCCCAAAAAAAAAACAGAAUUUUUUUUUUAUUAAAAUGUAAAAUAACUGUUUUAUAUUUGAACAUAAUUAAUUAAAAAAAAAAAAAAAAUGUAGGAAAUAAUAUAUUUCACAGAUUUAUCUCACAAGGUGAGUCAUGUGAAGAUGAAUUCCAGCCGAUUUACAGGAUACAGUGUAGCCUACAUGGAGUUGAAACCAGUCCAAACUCAUACACAACGGUAUCAUCAGACCCCUACCUAAAAACCAUGAGAAUCAGUGUGCCCCAAACAGGCUGGAACAAGAGGGUUUGACCAGGGUAGAGAGGAGGGAUGUCAUGGAGAGGAAUGCACGAUGUGGGCUUAGAGAAGAAGAAUGCACUGAGGGAAAUGUCUGCAUAUUCAAGGCUGCCCACGGCACACAUUUGUCCAGCUUAUAGCUAAAAGUCUCCAUCCUCUUCUCUCUCUAUCUGUCUAUCUCUGUCUCCCUCCCACUUUGUCAUUUUGCCCCCAUUCCUGCACCUCUGAGGAAGGACGAAGAACAGGAGGACUUUGAGGAACCAGAGCCAGGAGCCGAGAGACCAGUCCUUCCCCUUCAGGAGAGCCCAAGAGUGGGAUCUGGUAUGAGACAAAUCAGAAGAGAAGCUGAGUUGAUGUGUUGUGAGAGAACGCCCCCUUGUCUUGUGAGGGAAGAAUGCAUUGUUCACACAUUGGAGAGGGAAUUCAAGUUGGUUGUGGUUCAGCACACUCUGGCCAGCAGUUCAAGGUAUUCCCUAAACAAAGACAAAUAACAUUACAAAAGAUAUAGAUAUAGAUAGAUUAGAACUCUCUCUCUUAAUGAAAAACAUAAUGGAGUACUAAAAUAAACCUGCUUACCUUCUUCUGAUGAUCACAACACAAGGGGGGACUUACAGUACUGGACUUCUG
rnacentral:lncRNA from 1 species